rnacentral:rRNA from 1 species
AACGAACGCUGGCGGCAGGCCUAACACAUGCAAGUCGAGCGCCCCGCAAGGGGAGCGGCGGACGGGUGAGUAACGCGUGGGAACGUGCCUCUUGCUACGGAAUAGCCUCGGGAAACUGGGAGUAAUACCGUAUGUGCCCUACGGGGGAAAGAUUUAUCGGCAAGAGAUCGGCCCGCGUUGGAUUAGGUAGUUGGUGGGGUAAUGGCCUACCAAGCCGACGAUCCAUAGCUGGUUUGAGAGGAUGAUCAGCCACACUGGGACUGAGACACGGCCCAGACUCCUACGGGAGGCAGCAGUGGGGAAUCUUAGACAAUGGGCGCAAGCCUGAUCUAGCCAUGCCGCGUGAGCGAUGAAGGCCUUAGGGUUGUAAAGCUCUUUCAGUGGGAAGAUAAUGACUGUACCCACAGAAGAAGCCCCGGCUAACUCCGUGCCAGCAGCCGCGGUAAACUGUCUACG